rnacentral:rRNA from 1 species
UAGGGAAUCUUCCACAAUGGACGAAAGUUUGAUGGAGCAACGCCGCGUGAGUGAAGAAGGGUUUCGGCUCGUAAAACUCUGUUGUUAAAGAAGAACAUAUCUGAGAGUAACUGUUCAGGUAUUGACGGUAUUUAACCAGAAAGCCACGGCUAACUACGUGCCAG